AUCCUACACUGAAUUACCUACACUGGAAUGUCUAUUAAUGUUUUUGUGACUGUGACAGAAUAUUCCGCUGCGGCAGCUUAGAGUGGAGGCUCUGUUUCUUGAGUUCAUAUUCCUUAGAAAAGGAGGCUCCAUUCCCUGAGUUCAUGUCACUACACAGAUGUGAAAUGAGCAAGACCCAGACUCAGCUUCUGAGGGAGAACAGCGCACUUGCCCUUCUGUGCGGGGCUGCUUUGGUUUAACCCAACAGUAGCAUGCAGAAGGCCUGACUGGAAAUCCUAACCCGGCAUCCUUCAGGUCUUUGAAGUUGUGCACAUUGCUUGACUUCACUGAGCCCCAAAUUACCAUGAAGUUAGACAUACAGUCACCCUUCACAAAAUUAGGAAAACUCUGGUCUGUGAUGACGUCACAGUGUUGGUUGCCUGGAUCUGAGUGGGGCCUGCGUGGGAUGCUAAUUUAAAAGGACCUUUCUGAGAUUAAGGAGAUACCAUAUUCUAAGUCUGGAGAAAGGGCUCACUCAGUGAGUAAAGCAUUGAAGACCAGAGUUCCAGUCCCCAGAGCCCAUGUAACAUCCAGGACAGUGGCAGCCUGCCUGAAUCCCAGCACACUGGGACCCAGUCCCCAGAACAUUACCAGCCAGAACGAGCUAGUCCUAAUGAUGGUGGGCUCCUGGUUCCAGGAGAGACCAUGUCUCCAUGUAUGAGGGAGAGUGAGCUGUCCUCCACACGCGUCCACACAUACUGCAUGUGCCCACACACUUGCAAAGAGACACAUGCAUAC
rnacentral:lncRNA from 1 species